CAUUGAUGACAAUUUAAAGAUUAAAUCGUUGUUCCUUGUAUUACCAGACCACGAGUUAUAAAUUAAAGUAUACAAAGUCUGAAAUAGUUGAUAAACCAUAGAGAUUUCAAGUAUUUGAAGUCCAAAUGAACAGCCAACUCAUACCAGAUCUGUUAAAGAAGAUCAACAUGGGGAAAUUUAUUCAUAGUUGUUUAAGUAGCCUUUGAAUUGAAUACACCUUAAUUUGAGAGUCAAGCAAAGUCCAUCAAAUUCCGGACGCAAUACCCCCGCCCCCCCCCUUAGUCAUUGAUUUUCUGUAUCAUUUCAAUACUACAUACCAUUGAAUAAUUUUCCCAAUUUUAUACCAGUAACUCAAAGCUAGCUCAUGAUGAUUUCAACCACUUCCACAAUCCACAUCAUAUGUACAGCAUAAGGAAAAUGAUUUAGAUCGCUUACCAAAUGAUACUCCUACAGGCUGCAUUCUCACUAUUAAGCGCUCAAUUCCGAGGGCUGGAAACGAUGGCCACUCUCUCUAAUGACUUUGUUCAUCUGUAUGUUUUCUCCAAUUCUACUAUGGAAGUGUUAAAUAUACUAGCACAAUAAUUCUAUCUGAUGUAAAGAACCGCAUCUUUGUUGUUCAUUAUCAAACAUACAAAGCAGGAACCUGCAUUGUUUGACGUAUUCUAGUUGUUAGUGUAGGAGAAUCUAAUUAGUAUUCUUAUGGGCUAGGUCUUGUAAAUCUCAGUGGACUUAGGUUUACUUGUACAUCAAGUCAAUCGACCUAUAUAUAUAUGUAUAUGUAUAUAUGUAUCCUUAUGAGAUCAAUUGUAUCAAUACAAUUAUAAUUCUACA